rnacentral:antisense_RNA from 1 species
CAGAAUCAACGGUUUCUGGCUCUGAGAUGUUGCAUACACCCUCUCAGUCCCUGUAUCCUGAGAUGGAGUCACCUGAGGAUCCACAGCAAGUCCUAACCAGGGAUGGGUCUGGGUGAUUAAGGAAGGUUGGCUUCAGAACUGGGCCAGGGGCACUGCUUUGCUUUUGCUGUUUUGAUCAGCCCUCUGCCUGCAGGAGACAAGGAAAACCAAUGAGAACAGCUGAGGAAACUGAGUUACAGAGCUUUUCUGCACUGAGUCAUCAGGAGCAAAUGCUAGAUCAGAUAGGGUCUCUUUCUCUGCCACCCAGGCCAGAGUGCAGUUGACGCAGGGCAGGGGAGCCCCGAAUUGGAGCAUAGUGUGUCCGGAACUGGUGGGUUCUUGGUCUCACUGACUUCAAGAAAGAAGCCGCGGACCCUCGCGUUCUACAAGGCCUGGAGCUGAUAAAAAAAACCUCCCUUCUUUCCCAAAUGAUCCCCAGCCUCCCCGUUCACUGAAGGCCCUGCAGUCAGGAAUGGUCAGAACUUUGCACCCAGUUGUUGUGGGUGUUUGGCCGACCCUUCCUCUUGUGUGAUUCAUGGACCUGAAACAUUGUGUCACCUGGGAGCUUUUGGAAUUGAAGACUCUCAGGGCUCACCCGGAAGGACCUCCUGGGCCAGAAUCUGCAUUUUAACAAGAUGCCC